rnacentral:rRNA from 1 species
CCUACGGGAGGCAGCAGUGGGGAAUAUUGCGCAAUGGGCGAAAGCCUGACGCAGCGACGCCGCGUGAGGGAUGAAGGUUCUCGGAUCGUAAACCUCUGUCAGGGGGGAAGAAACCCCCUCGUGUGAAUAAUGCGAGGGCUUGACGGUACCCCCAAAGGAAGCACCGGCUAACUCCGUGCCAGCAGCCGCGGUAAUACGGAGGGUGCAAGCGUUAAUCGGAAUCACUGGGCGUAAAGCGCACGUAGGCGGCUUGGUAAGUCAGGGGUGAAAUCCCACAGCCCAACUGUGGAACUGCCUUUGAUACUGCCAGGCUUGAGUACCGGAGAGGGUGGCGGAAUUCCAGGUGUAGGAGUGAAAUCCGUAGAUAUCUGGAGGAACACCGGUGGCGAAGGCGGCCACCUGGACGGUAACUGACGCUGAGGUGCGAAAGCGUGGGUAG